rnacentral:rRNA from 1 species
GAUGAACGCUAGCUACAGGCUUAACACAUGCAAGUCGAGGGGCAGCAUGACCUAGCAAUAGGUUGAUGGCGACCGGCGCACGGGUGAGUAACACGUAUCCAACCUGCCGAUUAUUCCGGGAUAGCCUUUCGAAAGAAAGAUUAAUACUGGAUAGCAUGACGAGAGGGCAUCUUCUUGUUAUUAAAGAAUUUCGAUAAUCGAUGGGGAUGCGUUCCAUUAGUUUGUUGGCGGGGUAACGGCCCACCAAGACAUCGAUGGAUAGGGGUUCUGAGAGGAAGGUCCCCCACAUUGGAACUGAGACACGGUCCAAACUGCUACGGGAGGCAGCAGUGAGGAAUAUUGGUCAAUGGACGAGAGUCUGAACCAGCCAAGUAGCGUGAAGGAUGACUGCCCUAGGGGUUGUAAACUUCUUUUAUAUGGGAAUAAAGUGGGCCACGUGUGGCUUUUUGUAUGUACCAUACGAAUAAGGAUCGGCUAACUCCGUG